ensembl:snRNA U6 U6 spliceosomal RNA
AUACUCACUUCAGUAGCACAUAUACCAAAAUUGGAAGGAUACAGAGAUUAGCAUGGUCCCUGUGCAAGGAGGACAUGAAAAUUCAUGAAGUGUUACAUAUGGAA